GUAUGAUACUCCCGUUAUGCGCCGGUUGUACUAAUCACGUUAUGGCCGGUAAUGUACUACUCCCGUUAUGGCCGGUAUGUACUAUCCCGUUAUGGCCGGUAUGUACUACUCCGUUAUGGCCGUAUGUACUACUCCCGUUAUGGCCGGUAUGUACUACUCCCGUUAUGGCCGGUAUGUAACUACUCCCGUUAUGGCCGGUAUGUACUACUCCCGUUAUGGCCGGUAUGUACUACUCCCGUAUGGCCCGGUAUGUACUCAAAAAAGGGUAGAAAUAAAUGUAAAAGCAAGGAAAAAAAUGCAUAUUGGGCACUCACACCACAAACAGAAAGUACACAGCAACUCAACCAAUGGGAGGUACUGAAAAUACCUUUUUUUGGUUGCUUGUACUCCGUAACAGGCGAGAAAUGA
rnacentral:lncRNA from 1 species